rnacentral:rRNA from 1 species
GUGUCAGCCGCCGCGGUAAUACGUAGGGAGCGAGCGUUGUCCGGAUUUACUGGGUGUAAAGGGUGCGUAGGCGGCUUUUUAAGUCAGGUGUGAAAACCGUGGGCUUAACUCACGGAUUGCAUUUGAAACUGAGGGGCUUGAGUGGAGCAGGGGCAGGCGGAAUUCCCGGUGUAGCGGUGAAAUGCGUAGAGAUCGGGAGGAACACCAGUGGCGAAGGCGGCCUGCUGGGCUUUAACUGACGCUGAGGCACGAAAGCAUGGGUAGCAAACAGGAUUAGAUACCCUGGUAGUCCAUGCCGUAAACGAUGAUUACUAGGUGUGGGUGGUCUGACCCCAUCCGUGCCGGAGUUAACACAAUAAGUAAUCCACCUGGGGAGUACGACCGCAAGGUUGAAACUCAAAGGAAUUGACGG